CCUACGGGAGGCUGCAGUCGAGAAUCAUUCACAAUGGGGGAAACCCUGAUGGUGCGACGCCGCGUGGGGGAAUGAAGGUCUUCGGAUUGUAAACCCCUGUCAUGUGGGAGCAAAUUAAAAAGAUAGUACCACAAGAGGAAGAGACGGCUAAAUCUGUGCCAGCAGCCGCGGUAAUACAGAGGUCUCAAGCGUUGUUCGGAACCACUGGGCGUAAAGCGUGCGGAGGCUGGUUCUUAAGUCGUGUGUGAAAGGCGCGGGCUCAACCCGCGGCGGGCAAAUGAUACUGCGAGCCUAGAGUAAUGGAGGGGGAAGCGGAAUUCGCGGUGUAGCAGUGAAAUGCGUAGAUAUCGAGAGGAACACUCGUGGCGAAGGCGGGUUCCUGGACAUUAACUGACGCUGAGGCACGAAGGCCAGGGGAGCGAAAGGGAUUAGAUACCCUGGUAGUC
rnacentral:rRNA from 1 species